CAAGACAAUGGAGAGUAAAAUUGUAGCAGACAAGUUAAUACUCUUCACACUUAUCCUCUCCCUCAGCACUAUCCAUCGUCCUCAUAAUCCUUCUCAAGGGCAGCCAUGUCCUCAUGGGCCUCAAAAAACUCUCCUUCCUCCAUGCCUUCACUCACAUACCAGUGAACAAAGGCACACUUGGCCUAUAUCAGGUCAAACUUGUGGUCUAGGUGAGCCCAGGCCUCACCAAAUGGCUGUGGUGUUGCUCAGCAAGCAUACACCUCACUAUACUUUGGCCAGGUCUCCACCUGGUACCACAGUGGGAGGCAGGGAAUUAAUGCCAACUCUGAAGCCAGUGGGGCACCAGUCCACAAACUGGAUGGUAUGCUUGGUCUUGAGAGUGGCAGUGGCAGGACUGACAUCUAUCGGAACCACGUCACCAAUGGUACAACAGGCAGCAAGCCAUGUAUUUACCAUGGUGAGGGUCACAUUUCACCAUGUGAUUGGCUGGCUCAAAGCAUGCUCUAGUGAUCUCUGCUACAGUAAGCUGUUCGUGGUGGGCUUUCUCAGCAGAGAAGUAGGGCCGUAUGUGGCCAGAGGGAAGUGGAUGUGAGGAUAGGGCACCAAGUUGGUCUGGAAUUCUGUCAAAUCAACAUUCAAGGUUCCAUCAAAUCUGAGGGAAGCAGUGAUUAAAUACACAAUCUGGUUAAUAAGGUGGUUAAGGUUAGUGUAGGCUGGGCAUUCAAUAUCAAAGUUUCUAUGACAGAUGUCAUAGACGACCUCAUUGUCUACCAUG
rnacentral:lncRNA from 1 species